GUUCGCUGGGCGGUGGCGGGGCGGGACGGACAGCGCGCCUCUCCAAUGGCCGGGCGCCGUGGGCAGCGAGGGGCGGGGCCGCCUACCGCUGGGAGGGUCAAGCCCCCGCCCGCCCGCCGGCCCGCCAGCCCCCCUCCCCCGUCCCUCCGUCCCUCCCUCCCGGGGUGCCCCGCCCGGCUUCCCGGCUCUCACUUUCCUCCCACCCGGUUCGCGGCGCUCGGGGGCCAGGCGGGGAUGGAGCGGAGUUGCUCCCGCUGGGCCAGCCUGCCCCCUCCUCUCCCAGCUUUGGCAUCCCUGCCCCAGCAUGCUCGAAGCACUGUCUCCUUUGAGGACGCUGGAAGAAGCCCCUUCCCCGGCAGAAGCUUUUCCUGUCAACAGCUUUUCUUUUUUGGGCAUGGAACUCAUCGCAGGUAUUUUCCAAAAAAGAAAGCCAGGGGAAUCACAUUUCAGUCUGAAUGUGGAAAGAAAACAAAGACCACGACUUAGAGCUAAGUCUGAAUGGCCUGGAGCCCCUCAGCCUCGCCUCUCACAGAGCGGUUUACACAGUCUCCAGUCUGCUCCGGUGACAGGCCUGGCAUGUUUGUCUUUGUUGCAGAAAACACUUCCCUGAGGGAGUUCCAGGCAGAGGGCUCUCCACCCUGUGACAGGCAGAGCAUGUAGGAGAGGAGCAGAAGACGAGGACAGGGCAGUAGAACCCUCCAUUAACCUAAAGGGCAGGCUAGGGGCCCCUAGUGGCUCUGGCCUGAGGGCCUGGGCAGCUUCCUCUGUCCACUAGCUGAGUGGGAAGGAGGCAGCCACUUUGGAGCUGCAACAAAUGUGACUUCAGCAGGCCGCCCGGCAGUUGGAGGGCUCUCUAUUUGCAUCUAAUGAGAGGCUGGGUUCUAAUUAACUCCUGUGAUGUGUUAAUUUUUCAACCUGACAUUUUCUGCUCUAAUAGAUUCUUGUAAUGGUUUCUAAAUUAAAGGCUGCAUUUGAAGACUAGGGUUUAGGUUAAAAUCCACCACCUAAGGGGGUGGGGGGCCGUAAACAUCCUUUCCCUCCUAAGGAAAACGUCUCAUUUGCUGUUCUUUGCUAACCCAAUUAAGUGCUGAAGUACUCACCCCAGAGCCUGCUUUUUAUUUCCUGCGAAACAAUCCAGCUAAUCCAUAUUCAGUAGCUUCCAAGAGAAGUCUUAUUCCAACCACUCAAGAAGAAACCAGCUUCUUUGAAUAUGGACAGAACAUUUAGAACUCACAAAGAGCUGUCUUGGUAGAAAAUGCAAGAAAAUGGUUCAUUAUUAUCCUGUUUGGUCUUUGAGGGGAAAAUUCACUGGGACCAAAACUUAUAAGGACUGGGAAUUUAUCGAAGAACGAGGGGACUAUGGGGAGAAGCCAGGUCCCAUCCCAUCGGUUUAUAGAUAGUCUGGGUACUGUGUCUCCCUCUGCACCCAAACUAGUUAUGAAACAAAAACAUGUAUAUUUGAGUAAAACAAAGGGAACCCCAAUCUUGCUCAAAGUUGAGGAAUCACGGGCCCGAAGAAGAGAGCCAAACCUCGGCCUUCUUAUCACUUCCACCACUAGCUGAGGAACAAUCAAGACCAGAGAGGUCUUAAAUGUCAGGGAAUCAAAGCCCUGUUGUUCCCCCUACCAAGCAUAAGAUGGUACAGAGGACAGUCUUAUUUGUUGGUGGUGAUGGUCUAAUAUACAGAUGGGCAACUUCGAACCCGCACAGGAGGCAAAAAAAACUACCAAUAUACUUCAUACCUCUAUGACUUUAUUUCAUUUCAGUAUUUGUCCGUCAAACCAGUAGCAAAUGUUUAGUGAUAGGUUCUUGUGGACAUGUCACUAAGCAGAGUCCUGGGACGUCUGGAAGCAUUAGAAUGUGGUUCCAGCCUCCAGUGAGCUUAUAGCCACAUUAGAGGAGACCAAGACACAAGACCCAGAGUGAAAGUUAUUUAUAAUUAAGUGCUUUUUCUUGAGCUCCCUUACUCGUUGUAAGUUUGGGGGUUUUGUUUUUGUAUCAGUUUUGGUUUGGCUUGGUCUUGACCCCUUUCAUUGUCCUUCAAGGUCAGAGGCUGUGUCUUCUUCAUCAUUGUGUUCCUGAACAAUGCAGAAUCUACUUUACAUGUCUGCAGCACUUGAUAGAUGCUUGUUGAAUAAAAUGAAUAGUUCAGGCUAUAAGUGCUCUAAUUCUUCAGAAAAAGAGCCUUCAUUCUGUUCAGGGUACAAGAGGCCAUCAAAAUGCAACCCAGCUGGUUCCGGAAUGAUGGUCAAGUCUACUCUACAGGCCGUGCCUACAGGACAGCUUUCUGCUUUCAUCAGAACUCGAAAGUUUUGCCAAUCACUUCACUUCCUUUUCUGUUUUUGUUUUGUUUUGUUUUGUUUUGUUUUGUUUUGUUCUUGUUCAGGUUCUUAAAUAUUUUAAGGUAGAAAAAUGCCUUGGCUAGAAUUGUUGUUUAAUUCAGAAGCCUGUUUCUAAACUUCAUGAAUCAGCCCAAGAUAUUCUCUUAGCAUUGUUCAUUGACUAGUUGACCAUUGAUCUCAAUAUUGUCCACAGAAGGCAUUAGGAAUCAUAGAGGCCCUAUAUGUAGGAGUAUCCAGCCAAAGAGUUCUAAGUCAGGAGAUCACCUGUAAGUAGUAAGUUUGUAGAAAAAUUGAAAUGUGAGCCUAGCUGUGUGUGACUUUCCAAGAGACCCAGGGAAGCAUGGCAGGGAAAGCACCUGUAAUAAUAAUCUCACAGGCAGCGUUCUUACCAGUUGAUACAGGUGAGAAAUGAACAGUAAUAAAAAUAAUGUGAAAUUAUGAAAAAGUGUGAACCAGCCACCUGCUGUGGAUAAACACGAACUAGACUAGACAAGGUGUCAGGUGGUGGUUUGAAAACAUAGCCUCAAGUUCUUCGACAUUCCUCCCAUUGAAGGGCAGAAUUUAUCUUUCCUCCCCUAGAAUUUGGGAAGUCUCCUGACUUCUGCAACUGAUAGAAUACAAUGUAAGUGACACCAGGUGACUUCCAAAGCUAGGUCAUAAAAGGCCAUGCAGAUUCUUCCUCAUUUGCUGGGAGGUUGGCUUCGGGGCUCUGAGCAGCCCUCUAAGUGGUUCAGCUACCCUAAGACCACCUGCCAGUGUUCCAGUUGACAGUGCCAGAGGAUUCAUCCAUUCUCUCAACCUUGGUCCACUUGCUUUGGCAGGUGCUGACUCCAUCCUUGUUUCCAGGGCUGGGCAAGUCACAUAGUCGUCAUCAACUAGAACAUGACAUCCCCGUGGCCACCAUGAAAAGAUUAGGGAGAAGCUUGCAGACCAAUCCAAGCCACUGCAACUCACAUCCAAGACUUCUAUCACUCUGUUUUGGAAGAGAAGUCCUAUUUCCUAUUAAACUUAAAUUUGGUGAACAUAGACUUGGAGCUGUGGGAAGUCAUCUUUCCUUCACACAAACUCUGCAAGUGAAACCUACACUUGGGAGAACAGAUCAAGAAGGUGGAGAGAUUUGGGGUCUCAGUGAGUACUUUGAUCAAGCCUCAUUUAAGCCCAAGACUUCUUGCCUUUUCAUUGCAUGAAUAAUAAUUUUUGUUUGUUUAAAUCCAUUUGAAUGGGAUUUUUCUCUCACUUGAUGCUAAGAAAGAGCUAAUGCAUAGCUUAUCACUGCCUGCCUUUCUUAGUUUCUCCUCCAAUACAAUGUUAACAAUAGAGUGCCUUAAUCCUGCCUGUAUGUCUCUUUGUACUCUACCCCACCAGUGCCUAGGAUGACAUCUUGUAUACAGCAGGUAUUCAGUAAAUGCCUGAGGUGUUUCAUAGAAUUGAAUGUGGACUGAUUCUGCACCAUUCCCUAAAGUUGCUUCAGAAAGACUUCCCUUUCUAUAGGCUUGCUGAUGGUCACCUUUGUCUACUAACCUCAAAAGUAAUCUGCAGAAGACUUUCCAAAUAUUUGAUCUUUGUUUUUGUUUGAAUCCACGUUGAACUGGAAUUUAGUGUAAACAUAUACCUGGCAUACUCACCACACACUCCAGCAAAAUAGCUUGGAAGAUGCAAAGUGCCUUGCUCUAUCAGUGCUCAAUAAAAUGAAUUGUUUACUUUCCGUCCUUUGUUUAAAAAAAUAAUAACUGGUUUUUCUCUGGGGCUUGAUUCCUUUUGCACAAAGGGACUGACAUCCUCUCAAAUAAAAAAGGGGUAAAGAAGUAGGACACUUUUUGUUUUUUAUUGUGAACAUUUAGCAGCAAUUCUCUACCAAAAUGGCCAUGACCUUGCAGUUGUACCCAGCUUAGGAUUCGUAACAUAGAUUUUUGUAAUAAAGGAGCAUUCCUGGCCAAGAGAGAAAGGAUAGAAGCCUUUUUUUUUUUUUUUUUUUUUUUUUUUAAGGAAAGGAGCAAGUCUGGGAAUCAGAGGUCAAAGUGAGAUGAGAUCGAGUAGUGUGGUCAGUUCAGGGCAAUGGGAAUGUGGGUUCUCUGAGGCAUGGUGCGGCAGGCACUGCUGCGCAUUGUGGGCCAAGAGCCCAGAGGAGACAGUCAAGGCAGCACUGAGGUAACGAGGGACUAGAUGCGGCUGCCACUUCUACCCCCAUUCCAUAUAUUUACUGAAGUUCCCACUAGCAACUCUGCAGCUUUGGAAACUACUUAUAUUCCUUAUAAAGGCAUCUGCCAUUUCUCCACCAUUCAGCCCUCCAUUCAUCCACUCACUCAUCCAA